rnacentral:rRNA from 1 species
UGGGACUGAGACACGGCCCAAACUCCUACGGGAGGCAGCAGUGGGGAAUAUUGGACAAUGGGGGCAACCCUGAUCCAGCCAUGCCGCGUGAGUGAUGAAGGCCCUAGGGUUGUAAAGCUCUUUUGUGCGGGAAGAUAAUGACGGUACCGCAAGAAUAAGCCCCGGCUAACUUCGUGCCAGCAGCCGCGGUAAUACGAAGGGGGCUAGCGUUGCUCGGAAUCACUGGGCGUAAAGGGUGCGUAGGCGGGUUUCUAAGUCAGAGGUGAAAGCCUGGAGCUCAACUCCAGAACUGCCUUU